rnacentral:rRNA from 1 species
CGCUAGCGAUAGGCCUAACACAUGCAAGCCGAGGGGCAGCAUAGGGUAGCAAUACUUUGAUGGCGACCGGCGCACGGGUGAGUAACGCGUAUGCAACCUACCUAUAACAGGGGCAUAACCCGGAGAAAUUCGGACUAAUACCGCAUAAAACAGGGGCUCCGCAUGGAGAUAUUUGUUAAAGAUUUAUCGGUUAUAGAUGGGCAUGCGUUCCAUUAGCCAGUUGGUGAGGUAACGGCUCACCAAAGCAACGAUGGAUAGGGGAACUGAGAGGUUUGUCCCCCACACUGGAACUGAGACACGGACCAGACUCCUACGGGAGGCAGCAGUGAGGAAUAUUGGUCAAUGGGCGAGAGCCUGAACCAGCCAAAUCGCGUGAAGGAAGACUGCCUUAUGGGUUGUAAACUUCUUUUAUACAGGAAUAAAAAGAGUUACGUGUAACUUAUUGCAUGUACUGUAUGAAUAAGCAUCGGCUAACUCCGUGCCAGCAGCCGCGGUAAUACGGAGGAUGCGAGCGUUAUCCGGAUUUAUUGGGUUUAAAGGGUGCGCAGGCGGGAACUUAAGUCAGCGGUGAAAUCUCGACGCUUAACGUCGAAACUGCCGUUGAAACUGGGUUUCUUGAGUAUAGAUGAAGUAGGCGGAAUUCGUUGUGUAGCGGUGACAUGCUUAGAUAUAACGAGGAACUCCGAUUGCGUAGGCAGCUUACUAAGCUAUAACUGACGCUCAAGCACGAAAGCGUGGGGAUCAAACAGGAUUAGAUACCCUGGUAGUCCACGCCGUAAACGAUGAUUACUAGUUGUAUGCGAUAUACGGUAUGUGACUAAGCGAAAGCGAUAAGUAAUCCACCUGGGGAGUACGCCGGCAACGGUGAAACUCAAAGGAAUUGACGGAA